rnacentral:rRNA from 1 species
UACAGAGGUCCCGGAGCGUUGUUCGGAUUCAUUGGGCGUAAAGGGUGCGUAGGCGGCGGGCAAGUCUGAUGUGAAAUCCCGGGGCUCAACCCCGGAACUGCAUUGGAUACUGCCUUGCUUUGAGUACUGGAGAGGGAACUGGGAAUUUACGGUGUAGCAGUGAAAUGCGUAGAGAUCGUAAGGAAGGCCAGUGGCGAAGGCGAGUUCCUGGACAGUGACUGACGGCUGGAGGCACGAAGGCCCAGGGGAGCAAACGGG